rnacentral:rRNA from 1 species
UACGGGGGGGGGCAAGCGUUGUUCGGAAUUACUGGGCGUAAAGGGCGCGUAGGCGGCACUGUUAGUCAGGCGUGAAAUUCCUGGGCUCAACCUGGGGGACUGCGCUUGAUACGGCAGAGCUUGAGGAUGGAAGAGGGUCGCGGAAUUCCCAGUGUAGAGGUGAAAUUCGUAGAUAUUGGGAAGAACACCGGUGGCGAAGGCGGCGACCUGGUCCAUUACUGACGCUGAGCGCGACAGCGGUGGGGAGCAAACAGG